rnacentral:rRNA from 1 species
AACGAACGCUGGCGGCAGGCCUAACACAUGCAAGUCGAACGCCCUAGCAAUAGGGAGUGGCAGACGGGUGAGUAACGCGUGGGAACGUGCCUUUCGGUUCGGAAUAACUCAGGGAAACUUGAGCUAAUACCGGAUACGCCCUUCGGGGGAAAGAUUUAUUGCCGAAAGAUCGGCCCGCGUCCGAUUAGCUAGUUGGUGUGGUAAUGGCGCACCAAGGCGACGAUCGGUAGCUGGUCUGAGAGGAUGAUCAGCCACACUGGGACUGAGACACGGCCCAGACUCCUACGGGAGGCAGCAGUGGGGAAUAUUGGACAAUGGGCGAAAGCCUGAUCCAGCCAUGCCGCGUGAGUGAUGACGGCCUUAGGGUUGUAAAGCUCUUUCGACGGGGACGAUAAUGACGGUACCCGUAGAAGAAGCCCCGGCUAACUUCGCGCCAGCCGCCGCGGUAAGAC